AUGAUUCCCAACCUCUCCGGUCUCCGCCGUCGAGAACCACUUCGGCACCGCCGCGGCCGGCAGCGAAGACUUCGGCGGCCUCUUCUCCGCCGACAUCGACGACCAGCUCGCCCUCGAAUUCCCAACCUUUCCGCCCUAAAGAACCACUUCGGCGCCGCCGCGGCCGGCAGCGACGACUUCAGCGGCCUCUUCUCAGCCGACCAGCUCGCCCUCGAGUUCCCCACAUGGAGCCACGUGCGUGAGCCUUCCCCUCCCUCAAUCCCCUUUUCUCUCGGCCGGCCUCUGAUCCGUUUGCGCCCCUAUUUCGUUUCCCGGUGGCAGUUCGAUGGGUUCCAGAAGGCGACCAAGGAGAUGGUGAACAACAAGAAGGGGACGACCACGCUCUCCUUCAUCUUCGACAAGGCGUCAUCGUCGCCACCGACUCCCGGGCCAGCAUGGGCGGGUACACAUGAUAUUAUAUUUAUCUUCUUCAGCGUCUACUAUGUUAUCCAUCUGUCUAUCCACGUCCCAUAG
rnacentral:rRNA from 1 species